rnacentral:tRNA from 1 species
GGAAACAUGGCUCAGUGGUAGAGCGCUUGCCUAGCAUGCAUGAAGCCCUGGGUUUGAUUCCU